rnacentral:rRNA from 2 species
GCUGGCGGCGUGCUUAACACAUGCAAGUCGAACGAUGAAAGAGAAUCCGAUCUCUUCGGAGUGAAGAAUCUCUGGACUAGUGGCGGACGGGUGAGUAACGCGUGAGCAAUCUGCCUUACACAAAGGGAUAGCCUCGGGAAACCGGGAUUAAUACCAUAUGAUAUCUAUUAACCGCAUGGUUUAUAGAUUAAAGAAUUUCGGUGUAAGAUGAGCUCGCGUCCCAUUAAUUAGUUGGUGAGGGUAACGGCCCACCAAGAUAGCGAUGGGUAGCCGAUCUAAGAGGAUGACCGGCCACAUUGGAACUGAGAAACGGUCCAAACUCCUACGGGAGGCAGCAGUGGGGAAUAUUGCACAAUGGGGGAAACCCUGAUGCAGCGACGCCGCGUGAGCGAUGAAGGCUUUCGAGUCGUAAAGCUCUGUCCUAUGGGAAGAUAAUGACGGUACCAUAGAAGAAAGCCCCGGCUAAUUACGUGCCAGCCGCCGCGGUAA